UCAUUCCUGAGGUAUCCUGAGCCCCUCAGUGCCAUACUUCUGCGUGAGUGCUGUGAACUGGAGCAAAUGGGUUGAAAAUGGCCAGAAGUUGCUCUUGGUCUCUUUAGAUCUUUUAUGACAAAGAAAAAAAUUGAAUUUCUGACCAGUUAAAAUCCAUUUGAGCCAGUUUAAGCUAAUUAUGCAGAACUGGAGCCUGAGGUCGGUAAAUCCAGGAAGAUGGCUGAAUACUAUGCUGACUCAAGUACAGACAAGGAGCCAGAUGAGAAAACCAAGGCUCCAAGAGCUUCUGUAACUUGUCCAAGACCAUGCAGUUAGUGCACAGUGAGGCACAGAAUCAGUUGUAGAAGCACUUCAGGGAAUUCGGAUACUAUUUUGUGGCCUGGCAAGAUCAGCAGCCUUACUAUCUUAGUCCCUGCCAGUCAUCAGCUUCUGGUUUCCCUGUUAUCCUGCUGCUCCCUAGAAUGCAGCUAUUAAGUGGCCUAAGAGCCAGCACCUUCACGGAGUAGCAAAGGUAAGGCCAUUCUUCCUUGUUUUCUAUUUUCUGGAAAUUGCUUAUACAUUUCAGAACUGGUCUACCUGUGUUUGAAGGAGCCUGCACCAGGAGAUGGAAGGACACAGUGCUCAUGCUGUGGUCAUUAUGACUUGAGUUUGGUACCUAUCCAAAUGAUUUCACACUAUCCAUCAAAUAAAGUUUCAGGUCUAUUAUUAAAGAGAAUAUUUAGAAUACUAAAACACAUAUACACAUAUAUCAAAACGUAGAUGACUACAUUAUUUCAGCUUUAGAUGAACUAAAUACGUAAAAUAACAAAAGGGAAGAGUUCCAUGUUUGUCUAAUUAAAAUGUAAAGCUCUAUAAAAAUAUGAAUGACAUUAAAUAUAAGUGGUCAUCUGGGCACUCAGACAAUAAUAUAAUAAGGUGUAUUUUGUCCUUACAUGAUUUGUAGAUUUGUAAAUUGCCAUUUGGUGCAACUGAGUGAUCGAUAAACCCAAGAUAAAUUCUGUUAUUUGUGUGGUCAUAUUUGGAUAAAUACAGUGACUGAACACCCACCAUAUACGAUUUUAGCAGAAGCUCAGUUAUAGCUUUUUGUUUUCAAUCUUACACUAUAAAUAAAGAUCUCCGCUUGGUGUGUUAAGUGCCACAAUCCAUAUAUAUCCCCAAGCAUAGUGCUGUUGAGUGCUUUUAAGCUUAAGAAGGCUGAGGGAGAUCUUACAGAUACUAUGGGUAUCACAUGAACUUCAGUCAUGUGUGACAGUGCUGCUGACAGUAAUUUUGUUAAUGAGUCAGAUUUAUAUAAUGGGUCAGUAUUCACUAGAAUAGUGUUUUCCAUGAUUGUUAUCAAAGUGAAUGAAGCAUGAUUGCUAUCAAAUAUGCUGAUUACAUAAAUUACAUGUCAAUGUAUGAGGGAAACAAUAUGAUCUUCAUCAAAAAGCAAGCUAAAGCAAUACACAGGUUAAAUGACUGGACAGGGACAAACAAAUCAUGCUUGUUAACAUUAUUAGACAACUCUUCCAUUUACUAAUGAUAAAGGAAUUCAAGUUGGAGUAACAAUGGCGGGUCAGUGUUGUUGCCUAUCAUAUUUCAAAAGAUUUAUGAACUUGCUGGCCACAGUACAAUGAUCUUAUCAUUCUUUUGUAUACUACCAGUGGAUUAAGUCAGCACAAAAUCAUAGGAAGUGACUUGGUGGCCUCUACAAAAACUUGUACAAAUUUUAGUACAUCAUGACUGAGAAAUUGAACUUCAAAGUAUGUCUUCUGCAAAACAGAUGUUCAGCUACAUAUUUAUACACCUUUAGUAUAAUGUUACUUGAAAAAACAAAAAUAGAAAAAAAUACAGGAGUCUUUUAAGAGGGAGAACAGAUGUACUGUGGAUAGAAACAGGACAAAAGCCUUACAGAAUCCUUAAAUUAUUCUCAAAGUACAGUUGAUGACAUUUUAACUUCAUUGAAAUAAAGCAGAUGACAUAUAAGUUAAAAAUUAAAUUAUACUUACAUCAUAUACACUGAAGUAGGUCAAGUUAAAAAUAAAUCAGUUUCAGGGUGAAACACAUUAAGUGUAAUCCAGUAAGUACAAGUUGAGGGAACCUACUAACCUGCUCUUCAGUAGCCACCCAUGUCAUGUAGUUGAGAAUGUUUUAGGAGGUGGGAUAAUGAGUUAGCAAGGGCAAUGGAGUUUUACUGUAUUGAUCAGACUAGGAAGAUCAGACUCACCUUUGGCCAUGCACAGAAAAAUUUCAUUGAGACUUCUGUGAAAAUAGAUGAACUGUCUCAGUUCUUAGAAGGCAAGAAGGAGGAGGAAACAUCUUUGAAACUGAGUCUUAAAGGAUAUGUAGACUUUUAGGGUUGAAACACAGGGUACGUAUUGACCUUUUCAGCUUCAAUAGUGAUGCCACUCUAGACUCUGAAGUCAAUGACUUUAACAGGCAUUGAAAAUAGUUCUCUUUGGUAUGUAUAUAUCUGGAAUUUUCUAGUACUUUCCUCUAAGAUUCAUGUAAGUUACCAUGAUCUAAUGCUCUGAUCCUGAUUUCAAU
rnacentral:lncRNA from 1 species